AUGGUCAUGGCGUGGGGACCUGGAACAUGUACCAGGUCCCAGUCUAAGGCAGGAGGGGGAGGAGGACAGGACGAUCUCAUCGAAGGGAUCUGGGUGGCCAUUCACCUGGGGCAGGAAUUGGAAGUCCCAUGUGUCGAGGUCGAUUCUGACGUACCCACCCAGAUUUUCUGGAAGGGGAAAGAACAUGAAGAUACUGAUUGUUCUGAAUCUCGCGUCAUCAGUUCACAAGACACCUGUGGUCUAUUGCCCAGCAAACCUCCAUCCCCGUUCUUCUCCAGAGAGCUCGUCACUCACAUCCACAGUGUUCUGAGAGAAGCCCUCUGCACAACCCAGCCCUACACCCUGGCCACAGUGUGCCCUGGUGGAGGGCAUCUGACUCAGGGGAACAGAGGCCUCAAUCUGCAGUCAAAGAAAAGAAAGAUGCUCAGAAAGGAACAGAGAAGAGAUGCAGACCAUAACAAAGACAACUGCUGUCUCAGCUGCUGCUGGCUACCAUCUCACCACCGUGAAAAACAGCAAGCCUGGGGACAAAAGCUGAGAUGAUGAGGAGGACAAAGCCAGGAGAAAGAGAAAAGGAGCCAGCACCCCCUCCACUGUCCCAUGGCCUUGCUGUAUGGGCUGGGUCUUUUCCUGUGUGAGAUAAGAUAGUAAAUUCCCCAACUGUUUCAGUCACUUUGAGGGUCUCCCUUUUUUUUCACAUGCAACCCAGACUCCUCAUCUUCAUCAUCAAACAUUUAGUUCAUAUCUCUUUUAUUAAGGUUUUUAAACUUUAAUUGAAAUGCUCAAUUUUAGAAUAUCUGACUCUUUUAAAAUUCUGUCUUUUUAAAAUAAUAUCCUACUCUUGCCUCAUGGAUUCUUUCAUUUCUGUCCUUGAAUAUUAAUGUGGGUUGUGAGCACAAUAAUAAUCUUUGGUUUGUUAUUGUUGUUGUUUUUGUUGUUUGUUUUCUGAGACAGGGUCUCCCUAUGUAGUUCAACCUGGCCUUGAGCUCUUGAACUUGCAGUGAUCCUCCUGUCUCAGCCUCCUGAGUGCUAGGAUUACAGGUAUGUGCCACCAUGCCCAGCUCAAUAAUAAUCUUAAAUAGCAACAGCAUAGAAAAAAGAAUAUACCUCAAGUAUGUUUGUUGACAAUUUAAACUAUCAUGAACUAAAGUGCAGUUGAUUUUUUCUUUUGCUACCCAGCCACACCCUUCCUAUUUGGGCAAGAUCUUCCAUUGACUGCCUUGGUGAGAGUCAUAUUCCAGCUUUCUACUAUGAAAACCUCAAGUUUACACAUUCUACCCUCCCCUCUGUGUCAGGCAACAGAUGGAGAGGAAUACAAUGUAGGCUUAGCUAAUCAGGUUCUCUCACAGGAACUGGAAAUCACUUUUUAUUAUUAUUGUUUUGUAUUUUGAGGCAGGGUCUUGCUAUGUAACCCAGAGUGGCUUCAAACUCUCAAUUUUGCCUCAGCCUCCCGAGUGCUAUUACAGGCAUGCCCCGUCUAACCCCCUUGGGAACUUCAGAUCUUGAGUGAGCGAUGACCCAAGGACAGUUGGAAUCUUCUUUCUUUUUUUUUUUUGGUAUCGGGGAUCGAACUCGGGUCCUUGCACUUGUGAGGCAGGCAGAGGAACCACUGAGCUAAAUCCCUAGCCCCUUUCUUUCUUUCUAACAGUAUUGGUGAUUGAACCUAGGAUCUCCGCACUGUUAUAGUCCACACCCUUUUAUUUUUUAUUUUGAGAUAAGGUCUGAGUCUAUAAAUUGCCACAGCUGGGCCAGAAUUUGUCCUCCUCCUGCCUCUAUCUCGCAGAGUGCUGGGAUUAUAGGUGUGCACCACCAUACCUGGUUUGGAAUCCAGUUUUGAUGAUGGUGGCAAGAAUCUAGCUACCGAGGUGGUGCGACCUCACCAGACUGUUCAGGUUGCUUGCUCUCAGUGUUUCCCAUUGCCUGGCCCUACUUGAUUGUUGCGUGACUUCCAAGCAUGAUUCUCCAGCAGUCCUGAUAAUUUUGUGAGUUCCCAAAAGACUUUUCAAUAAAUCCUCUUAUUAUUUGUCCAUGAAAAUGUAUCAACUAUUCCUUAGCAAUAUCACAGUAGAAAUACUUCACCAAAUUUUAUUAGAACCCUAUAUGAAGAAUUGACACCAAGACAACAAUACUAUUAAGUUCACCCAAAACCUUUGAGAUUACAGUUUGAAUGAAUGUGAACAACUGACUGAAUUUUUCCAGAGUGUAAAACAAAAAGCAAAACUAUCUAUUCACAGAUGAUAUGAUCUUGUAUAUAUAAAUCCUAAAGAAACCAUUAAAAUAAUUAAGUUAGAACUAACAAGUCCAGCAAAGUAGCAGAGUAUACGACAAAAUAAAAAUCAAGGCCCUGGGGAUGUAGCUAAGUAGUAAGCACUUGCCUGUCAUGUUGAAGCCUUAGCCUCAACACCCAGCACUGAAAAAAAUUAUACUUCCAUACAUUGGAAUGAAAUGUCCAGGGAU
rnacentral:lncRNA from 1 species